rnacentral:rRNA from 1 species
GGUUAAGCGACUAAGCGUACACGGUGGAUGCCCUGGCAGUCAGAGGCGAUGAAGGACGUGCUAAUCUGCGAUAAGCGUCGGUAAGGUGAUAUGAACCGUUAUAACCGGCGAUUUCCGAAUGGGGAAACCCAGUGUGUUUCGACACACUAUCAUUAACUGAAUCCAUAGGUUAAUGAGGCGAACCGGGGGAACUGAAACAUCUAAGUACCCCGAGGAAAAGAAAUCAACCGAGAUUCCCCCAGUAGCGGCGAGCGAACGGGGAGCAGCCCAGAGCCUGAAUCAGUGUGUGUGUUAGUGGAAGCGUCUGGAAAGGCGCGCGAUACAGGGUGACAGCCCCGUACACAAAAAUGCACAUACUGUGAGCUCGAUGAGUAGGGCGGGACACGUGGUAUCCUGUCUGAAUAUGGGGGGACCAUCCUCCAAGGCUAAAUACUCCUGACUGACCGAUAGUGAACCAGUACCGUGAGGGAAAGGCGAAAAGAACCCCGGCGAGGGGAGUGAAAAAGAACCUGAAACCGUGUACGUACAAGCAGUGGGAGCACGCUUAGGCGUGUGACUGCGUACCUUUUGUAUAAUGGGUCAGCGACUUAUAUUCUGUAGCAAGGUUAACCGAAUAGGGGAGCCGAAGGGAAACCGAGUCUUAACUGGGCGUUAAGUUGCAGGGUAUAGACCCGAAACCCGGUGAUCUAGCCAUGGGCAGGUUGAAGGUUGGGUAACACUAACUGGAGGACCGAACCGACUAAUGUUGAAAAAUUAGCGGAUGACUUGUGGCUGGGGGUGAAAGGCCAAUCAAACCGGGAGAUAGCUGGUUCUCCCCGAAAGCUAUUUAGGUAGCGCCUCGUGAAUUCAUCUCCGGGGGUAGAGCACUGUUUCGGCAAGGGGGUCAUCCCGACUUACCAACCCGAUGCAAACUGCGAAUACCGGAGAAUGUUAUCACGGGAGACACACGGCGGGUGCUAACGUCCGUCGUGAAGAGGGAAACAACCCAGACCGCCAGCUAAGGUCCCAAAGUCAUGGUUAAGUGGGAAACGAUGUGGGAAGGCCCAGACAGCCAGGAUGUUGGCUUAGAAGCAGCCAUCAUUUAAAGAAAGCGUAAUAGCUCACUGGUCGAGUCGGCCUGCGCGGAAGAUGUAACGGGGCUAAACCAUGCACCGAAGCUGCGGCAGCGACGCUUAUGCGUUGUUGGGUAGGGGAGCGUUCUGUAAGCCUGUGAAGGUGUGCUGUGAGGCAUGCUGGAGGUAUCAGAAGUGCGAAUGCUGACAUAAGUAACGAUAAAGCGGGUGAAAAGCCCGCUCGCCGGAAGACCAAGGGUUCCUGUCCAACGUUAAUCGGGGCAGGGUGAGUCGACCCCUAAGGCGAGGCCGAAAGGCGUAGUCGAUGGGAAACAGGUUAAUAUUCCUGUACUUGGUGUUACUGCGAAGGGGGGACGGAGAAGGCUAUGUUGGCCGGGCGACGGUUGUCCCGGUUUAAGCGUGUAGGCUGGUUUUCCAGGCAAAUCCGGAAAAUCAAGGCUGAGGCGUGAUGACGAGGCACUACGGUGCUGAAGCAACAAAUGCCCUGCUUCCAGGAAAGCCUCUAAGCAUCAGGUAACAUCAAAUCGUACCCCAAACCGACACAGGUGGUCAGGUAGAGAAUACCAAGGCGCUUGAGAGAACUCGGGUGAAGGAACUAGGCAAAAUGGUGCCGUAACUUCGGGAGAAGGCACGCUGAUAUGUAGGUGAAGUCCCUCGCGGAUGGAGCUGAAAUCAGUCGAAGAUACCAGCUGGCUGCAACUGUUUAUUAAAAACACAGCACUGUGCAAACACGAAAGUGGACGUAUACGGUGUGACGCCUGCCCGGUGCCGGAAGGUUAAUUGAUGGGGUCAGCGCAAGCGAAGCUCUUGAUCGAAGCCCCGGUAAACGGCGGCCGUAACUAUAACGGUCCUAAGGUAGCGAAAUUCCUUGUCGGGUAAGUUCCGACCUGCACGAAUGGCGUAAUGAUGGCCAGGCUGUCUCCACCCGAGACUCAGUGAAAUUGAACUCGCUGUGAAGAUGCAGUGUACCCGCGGCAAGACGGAAAGACCCCGUGAACCUUUACUAUAGCUUGACACUGAACAUUGAGCCUUGAUGUGUAGGAUAGGUGGGAGGCUUAGAAGUGUGGACGCCAGUCUGCAUGGAGCCGACCUUGAAAUACCACCCUUUAAUGUUUGAUGUUCUAACGUUGACCCGUAAUCCGGGUUGCGGACAGUGUCUGGUGGGUAGUUUGACUGGGGCGGUCUCCUCCUAAAGAGUAACGGAGGAGCACGAAGGUUGGCUAAUCCUGGUCGGACAUCAGGAGGUUAGUGCAAUGGCAUAAGCCAGCUUGACUGCGAGCGUGACGGCGCGAGCAGGUGCGAAAGCAGGUCAUAGUGAUCCGGUGGUUCUGAAUGGAAGGGCCAUCGCUCAACGGAUAAAAGGUACUCCGGGGAUAACAGGCUGAUACCGCCCAAGAGUUCAUAUCGACGGCGGUGUUUGGCACCUCGAUGUCGGCUCAUCACAUCCUGGGGCUGAAGUAGGUCCCAAGGGUAUGGCUGUUCGCCAUUUAAAGUGGUACGCGAGCUGGGUUUAGAACGUCGUGAGACAGUUCGGUCCCUAUCUGCCGUGGGCGCUGGAGAACUGAGGGGGGCUGCUCCUAGUACGAGAGGACCGGAGUGGACGCAUCACUGGUGUUCGGGUUGUCAUGCCAAUGGCACUGCCCGGUAGCUAAAUGCGGAAGAGAUAAGUGCUGAAAGCAUCUAAGCACGAAACUUGCCCCGAGAUGAGUUCUCCCUGACUCCUUGAGAGUCCUGAAGGAACGUUGAAGACGACGACGUUGAUAGGCCGGGUGUGUAAGCGCAGCGAUGCGUUGAGCUAACCGGUACUAAUGAACCGUGAGGCUUAACCUU